GAUUCCUACACCAGACAAUGAGAGCGACACUGAGGUUCCAUAUGCUGACAUAAUGAUCACUGUCCGAGGCGUCAGUAGUACACCAGAGCUCACUCAGGUUGGGUACUUGAGUCCUGGAGACCAAAACGAGUGGCGGGGAGAUGAAUUAAGGUCUCACCUGCAGGCCUCACGCUCAGCUGACAGACUGCACGUCCCGCAGCCCAGAGAGGUGAGCCGCAAGAUGAGCACCAACUCUGAGUAUGCCGUCAUCACAUAUGCCUGACCGUUGCUGCUGCUGCUGCCGGAAAAAAGCUAGAAAUAAAGGAGUAGGGUGGAUUAGGGUAAUGUGGGACAAGACUAAUGUGGGACAACGUUUUCUAUUCAGUUAUUCUAAAGCUAACUAGCAAUCUGUGUAAAUUGUAUUGUUUAACAUUAUACAUGCAUUACAUUACAUACGUCAGCUAGGUUUGUUAAUUGUAAAUAUGCUAUUAAACGCUUUCUGUGUCUCUAAAAGUA